AAGAAGUGACGUUUGGUCGGUUUGGGUCGUUGCUCCCGGUCGGCUGCUCCUUCUUCUGCACCACCGGCAUAUGUUGAUCCAGAAGUUCUUACGGCUCAGCUGAAGGACAAGGAUGAUCGGAUAUCUGCGUUGGAGACCCAGAUGGCAGCUCAACAGGCGGGCUAUGAGACCCAGAAGAGGCUGAACGAACAGAUGAUGGAGAUGAUGAAGAGGAUGUAUCCGAACGACGUGUUCCCGAACAUUCCAGACCAGUAGUUUUUUUUUUUUUUACCAAAAACUCUGAAUGUUUUAUUUAAAUUUGAAUAUUAUCUACUAUGUUUUAAUGUUUUAUGUUUUAUUCAAUUUUAAUUUUAAUUUUAAAUUUUUGAAUUUAAAUUUUAUUUAAAUUUUUUAAAAAAAUUUUUUUUUAAAAAAAUAAAUUUUUUCAAAAUUCCGAGGGAAAGGAGUUCCUCGGAAAAUUCCGACGAACGUUAAGUUCCUCGGAAUUUUCCGAGGGAAGACUGUUCCUCGGAAUUUUUCCGAGGGCUCGACGUUCCUCGGAAAUUUCCGAGGGAAAAGCCUUCCUCGGAAAAUUCUGAGGGAAGAAAUUUCCUCGGAAUUUUCCGAUAAACAUUCCGAGGAAUAUUUCGUCGAAACUUCCGAGGAUUGGACCAUCGGAAUUUCCUCAGUAUAUUCCGAAGAACCUUCCGACGAACAUUGUGUCCUCGGACUUUAAUUUCCUCGGAAUUUGUUUUCCUCGGAAUUCCGUCGGAAAUUUCCGACGGAAUUCCGAGGAUGUAUGAAUUUCCGAGGAGAUAUUUCCGAAGACUUUUUUCGUCGGUAUGUCCUCGGAAUAGCGUUAUUCCGACGAUAUACCGACGAUUUUUUCCCUCAGUGUCCCGAUGUUUUCUUGUAGUGAACAUAAUAUAAAUUACAUAUUAUUAUAUUUACAAAACAUAUUUUAAAAUAUUUAUGGUGAUCGUAUUAUUUCGUGUUUAUAAUUGACGUUUGUAUCAUAUAUUCGUCAUAAUAUAUUAGUUAUAUUAAAAUGUUUAUUAUAUACUAAAUAAUAAUAUGCAAAAAAUUACUGAUUUACAGUGACAACAUCUAUAUUACUCUACUGAAUUAAAUAUUUUUACACAAUUUUAGAAGCUUUCUAUUAACAAUAUGUAAUAUAGAUUCUUAAAUGAUUUUCUAAACGCUAGAAAAAAUUACCAACAAAAAACAAUUGAGAUUAUAAUUGUAAUUUGGGCUGUAGAUAAAUAUUAUUUUGAUUUGUGGUAAAAUAAUAUAUGAUGAAUAAAAGGUCCAUCAGGGUCCUGUUAUUUUUUUUCUGAGAACAAACAGAUCAGUUAAUGGUUCAAACGCAUGACUAUACAUGUUUAGUAUCAUGAUGUUGUUUCGAACUCAGGUCACUUAACUUCUCAAACUCCGCCUACCACUGGACCAUCAUAUCUGAUUAAACAUUUGUGUAUUUAAUAAUAACAAAUACUUGAAUCGAUUCUACAUAUCUAUCUUUUUUGUGCACAUUACAUAUCUAUCAUUUUGUUAUAUUAUAUACAUAUCUAUCAUUUUGUUAUAUUAUAUAUUUAUAUAUACGACAUAUUCCAUUGCCCGUACCAAAUACACUACGAUUAAGUUAAACAGUAAUCGGAGUGUAUCUGUAACAAUCCGUUCUGUGGAACCCGACUGGCUCUGCAGAGCAUCGACCCUAACUCUCACAUGUGAGUCCCUCGUAGUUAUACAUAUAGGUUAUUGGUGCACUUGACGUUCCUCUAACCCAAGACUUUACCUUUUAACAACCCUUCUACAGGACUAAUUGAUCUGCAAUUCAAUUGGUGACAGCUUGUCAUGUGGGAGGAUUGUUAAAUGGUGAAGGUGGGUUCGAGAAACGCCGUGCGCACCAAUAACAUAUAUGUAUGACUGUGAGAGGUUCACAUGUAAAAGAUUAGGGUCGAUACUCUGUAGGGCCAGCAGAUAUCCGCAUGUUGGAUUGUUACAGUAUCAUACCCCAUUGAGUAUUGAAUCUGAAUACGUAUAACUAAUGUGUAUAUACAAUAGUACCAAAUAACAAUACCCACACGUAUGUAAAGUAAAGGGGGUUAAAAACCAAUAGCGUUUCAUGGUUUUUAGGGUGUAAAUAGCGUUUCUUGUUACCAAAUGAACUGACGUCAUUUCAGGAAACAUGCCUAUCUUUGUUGUCUCCAUGAAACAAUUGGUUUUACUCUUUUACUUCAACUUCUUCUCUCGCCUUCUCCUCUUUGAUAUCCUUUGAUUUUAGUAUUAUUUAAAUAAGGGUGAACGAUCUAUUUCUCCACGAGAAUUAUCGUAUAGCAUCAGAUCUCCACCAAACUAUGAUUUCGUGUUAAAACUCCAUGAAUUUAAAGUUGUUAACUUAUUUCUCUCCAAAUUAUAAUUUGUAAAUUGAUUUCUCCCCAAAUUUAUAGUUUGAAACUUAAUUGUCCAUAGACCAUGGUUUUAAUCGGUUUACUAUUAACCCACCAAUUUUAAACUAAUUAAACCCAAAAAAACUUUAUUUUUAAUUUUAUUUUUUUAAAACGAUUCAUCAUCAAAAAAUUGUUUGUCUAAAUCGUGUCCAUAUCUCUCUCAACACCGAUCAGACAUAGCUUCCGAGCAACACCAACGACUUCUUAAUUUUGCUUAGUCUCACAGUCACCACUCGCCCUCCUCCCUCCACAAUUUGCGAGGAAUAACUCACAUGUAGCAGUUCACCACUUAUCCACCGCCUUCAAACUCACCUCCUCCCACAGUUCAGAGAAGCUUAAAAAAAUAGUGAUGCUUUGUUUAGAAAACACAAGUACAUAGCUUUAAUACGUGUGAUUGAGAUCGAAGGAGAAUGUACAAAUGUUGAUAAAAAAAAAUUCUGGGAAUUACUUUUUUUUUUGGUGUGUGAAUCAGUUUUUUUUUUAAAUAAAAAAUUAGUUCGAGAUUUUCAUUAGUUUAAUUGGUCGGUUAAUAGUUAACCGAUUAAAACCAUAGUUUAUGAAUAAUUAAGUUUCGAACUAUCGGUUUGGGGAGAAAUCUAACCUAUAUUAAAAGGGAUAUAUGAGCAUCAGCCAGCCUAUCCACGUAGGAUUAAAAAUUCAAGCCAAUCAGAUUGUGCUAAGAUGCCAUGUCACCUUAGUAAAAAAAAAACCUAACUUUACGAUGGCCAUUCCUUCUUCUUCUUGACGCCUUUCCAGUGUCUCUAUCCAACUUCUCAGCAGUUCCAAGUUUUCUUCCAUGAUCUGCCAUUAAUUUGUCCUAUUAUUGCUUUUUCAAAACAAUAGUAUUAACAUCACGAAACUGAUUGGUUGUAUCCAAUAAUAUAAUUUUUUUCAAAAAAAAGUUCUAUUGAGGGCAACCAAAACUCGGCUUCUGUCGAUCUCAGAGAUCCAACCCGAAAAGCUGCAGAUAGAUUUCAAGCAAAGAUUCACUGAUAUCUUCCUAGCUUGCUCUUCCACCUCUUCUGGUACGUAUUUCCUGCUUUCCAAUUUCUUCAUUGCGGUUAUUUCUCCACCUUGACCAAUUGUGAUCACGUUAAAUAGGUUGAUUUGGAAAGGGAUCCCGCUGGUAUUGAGGCAAAAGGUCUGCCAACAAAGUCACGCUCGCAACACAGCGAUAGAGAAAUUGGAGUUUGAUCUUAUCCAAAGUCUCAUAUUUUAUUGUUCUUCAGGAAGAUUGAUUUACAGUAUUUGAUUUUCACUUAAUUUUCUUGGUUAUACUGGUAUUGUUUUUAGUUGGUUCUAAGCUCUGUUUCAUGUUGUAAUUAAUUUUCUGUAUUCUUAAAAGCGUUAGAAAGAAAAAGUGUUAUUUUUAGCUGCUAGAGCUUCAAGAACAGAGAAUUAAAUAUGGUUAGAAUACUUUCUGAACCUAAAGAGGCAAGAGUUGGUAUUAGAGAGAUUCAUUACUUCCAAUUCAAUCCAGUCCACUUAUAUCUAUAGUAAUGGAGACUGGCACUGAGUAAGCAAAAAGAGCUUCAGAAAAGGUACCUACGAACUGAUUUUGUUUCACUGCACUUUAAAUUUUAGUAUUGUAUUUUUUCUUCAAUGAUUUAACCUGUAAAACCUUUUACUUUUGCUGAUAUUCAGAUUCUUGAUCUGUGCAAGUGGAACACAAGAGCUGAUCUGAGGAACAGAGUCCACUUAGCAUUCGAUAAGUACACUGAGCCUGGACUGAGGUCAUUAGCUGUUGCAAGAUGGCUCUACGUGGGAAAACCAAAAAUAAGCUCUGGUGGUCCAUGUGAAUUCAUUGGUGUGUUACGUUUGUUUGGUCCUCCGAAACAUGAUAGUGCAUACACCAUUAGAAGAGCUUCAGACCUCGGUGUCAACAUCCAGAUGAUCACUGGUUACUAUCUGUGUAUUUACUUCUCACUUUGGCUUUAAUCUUAUGGUGUAUUGGUUUUCUUAUAAGUGACAAACUUGCUAUUUCCAGUUAGACUUGAUGUAUGCUCAGUAUGGGAUCAAAAAUGUAUCCAUAUCAGCAUCAGCUUCUCUACUUAGCAAUCACAAAGACGAAAGCCUAGCUGCUGUUACUGUUGAACAGUUGAUGGCCAACAUCACAGCACUAUUUCAUAAAGAUAUGUUAACACAGUUGACAAGACCCAGUGCGUAUAAUUUCAUAAAGAUAUGUUAACCACAUGUCUACAAGUACUCUAAGUGUAUAAUAUUUUUUUAUCAAUGAGUAUAAUUUCAUUAUCUUUUUAUCCUCCCUUACUAUUGUAUCCUUCUUUGGUUUUGCUUUCAGAUUCAUCCAGCAAAAGCUAGGAGGUCCUUCAGUUUCUGAUUACAAGAAGCUUCAAUCCGAGAAGUCUGAUCUUCAAAUAAAGUACUAUGAGGUUUUUGCUAAACAUCACGGAACGUUGAGAGAGGUAUCCCGUCCUAACUUGAAUAUAAAAGUUUAUUGGUACACCAUAUAUAGUUGAUUUGCACAUGAUUACAUGCUUAUGUAGUUCCUUAUAGUGGCUCUACAAUAACUUUCUCCACCACCCAUAAUCUUAAACAUAUUGAUUCAUCUUUGAUAAACUGAAACUACUUGGGACCAAUGAUAUCGAGUAGCUAACUCUCUCUGUAGCUAAGAUUUUUCAUGAUUAUUAUUGAUAGGAGCCCAUAAAAAAAUGUUUAAAUGUGUUUGGCAUAUUAUGUGUGUGAUUAAUGUUGCAGUUAGAUGGGAGUGAAAAGCUUGCAUUCCCGACCAGCAAUUCAUUAGCCAAGUGAUGAUUAUGUUGUGAGAGAGGAAGUCACAACUCAGGGUUGAAGUUUUCCAGGAGAUCAAAACUCUGCCUCUCUAUGGUGACAGAGUAAAGCUUCAGCUCAUUCUUGCUGAUCUUCUGCGCAACAUUGUGAAUCAUGUCCCGUUUCCAGAUAGUUGGGUAGGAAUCAAGAUCUCAUCAAGCCACAAGCUUGCACACGAAAAUGAUCAUAUAUCCAUCUCCAGUUCAGGAUGAUACAUCCUGGAAAUGAUUUCUUUCAGAGAUACUAAGUGAUAUGUUUGAGACAUGAGAUGGAUGGGUCAUGCCUGAUGGCUUAUGACUUAAGCAGAUGGAUGGUAGUGUGAGUUAUGUUAGAGAAGACGAACGUUGUUUCUUUCAAGUGAAUCUUCAAGUUAAGACAAGGUUAGGUGUUGAGACCAUAUGAACAGAGGCUGGUUCAAGCAUACAAUAGAGAUUCUGAGUUACAAAGACAUAUAUAAAAUUUGACGAUGGAUUUAGAACUAUGGAUUUAACUUUUACUUAUUUUAGCGUUAAACCCAUUAUGGCCCAACAAAAUAUUGAACAUAAAUUUUGUUUCUCUUUUUCCAAACAACAUAGAACUUUAUUGAUCUUUAAAAACACAAAUUCAUAUUACAAUUUUGGAAUAACCAGACAAAAACAAUACCAAUAGACAAAAUUUUCGAAAAACAUAUUAUUACAUAAGUUUAUAUAUGUGCCUUUUACUGAAGUCGAUAGAACAAGUGAAUUUGACGAUGCUUCACAAAAUUAAAACUUAUUAUAAACAGCUACAACUAAACAAAUAAAUCACUCCACAAUAUUUGCUAUUACUUUAUCAAAGUAUUACAAUAAGGCAGACUCUAUUCUUAUACCUCCCCUAUAAUUCAAACAAAAAUACUAAAAACUAAAAUCAGCUAACUUAUAUCUCCCAUUAAGGGAUCCAUCGCAGCAACAUAUACAGAAACCUCCGGAAUACUCAUCGCGACACACACUGCAUAAUUGUUUCAAAAGUCUGUGUAAUUUCACUCAUUUCUUACUGCAACGCCAAAAUUUCAUGCAAACCUUUUAACUUGACGUCUAAGGAACCGUUUCUCUCUAAUCCCAGCUUUCACCGAUUGUUAGGAAAUUACAUGAAUCAUUGUCAACAACCCCGCACUUGAAAAAAUAUGUUGGCCAUCAACUUUCUCAUUUUCACAGUAUCAAAUCAAUAUUGUAUAGCCGUAAAUUAAUUAUACAAAUGGAAUUAUUUAUCAUUUGAAAUAAACAAUGCAAAAAGCAUGUAUAUAUGUCAGUUUGUAUUUUUGUAGAGAGGGCAGAAAUUGAAAAUGUAAAAUCAAUAAUUCUAAAUACAGAAAAAAAGUUUUAAAUUAAAUAUAGAUUUAAAAAAAAAUUUAUAUGAAACAAAAGAUUUUAGCUGAAACUUAAGAAUAUUGACUAUUCAUCACUUUCUGUUAAUUUUAAUAACAAAUAAAAAUCAAAUUAGAGUGUGGGGUUGAUUGGUUGUUCUGUAGUUUUUGUUUUUGUUUUUGCUUUUACUUUAGAAAAUAAGCUGUGAAUUGUUUUGCUUCGGCUUUAAUUGUUUUGCUAUAUAUUUAUUUUCAAAGCAUAAAAUCUUUAGAAAAGUUGAUUUUGAAAACUAAUAUAUUUUUUUAAAAACUUUAUACUGUAUCUUUAAUUUUAAAAGCUAAAAUAUGAUUGUUUGAAAAAAAAAUAGAAAAAAAUGGAUGUCUAAAACAUUUACCACCAUUACCAAUCAACCCCUGAGUUUAUUUAUUUCAAAUUUGUUGGACAACAUGAUAAAUUAAUUUGCAUAUUAUUACUUAUAUUUUUGGUAGUCAAUUUUGAAAUAAUAUAUAUACAUGCUUUUAUAAAAAAUAAACAAGCUAAAAUUAAUUAAAAAUUAUAACAAGAAAUUUAUCCGGGCGUAGCCCGGACAAAGACUCUAGUCAAUUUACAACUUAUAAUCAUGAGAGAAAUAAGUUUACAACUUUAAAUUCAUGGAGUUUUAGCACGAAAUCAUAGUUUGGUGGAAAUCUGAUGCUAUACGAUAGUUCUUGUAGGGAAAUAGAUCGUUCACCCUUUAAAUAACUAUAGUAUCUUUAGCAUAAUCGAGACUAAUUAAAUUUAACAGUAAUCAGAGUGUUUGUGGCGACUUCACUCAUACACGCAUGCAAUACGCGUUAUUACCAUUUGCAUAGUUAUAAAAUGGAUUAGGGACCACUUAAAUAGCCAUUAUUGUAUCGAAUGUGUCGUUUAUAUGGUUCAUACGUUCCCCUAAACAUUUGCUAAUCUGGUUAACAACAAAAGUGAGGUUUUGAUAUGUCUUUAUGAUUUUAAAAAGAACACUUGCGAGGCAUCUACAUUAUCUGUAAUUUAUGAAAUUACUGGAAGUAUAAUUAAUAUCCUAUAAAUUAGGAAAAGAAACGUACUAAUGUACCUUACCAUACACACAUGAUCAAUUCGUCAGCAAAUAUAGUAUACAUGAUCAAAAAAUUAUAAUUAUAUAUUAAAAUAAUUAAAUUUAAUUUAUCAUUUUAAAAGAAUCGUUUAACGUUAUAUAUAAAUAAACUAGGCAAGAUUCUUAGUAUUGUUUAAUAUAUUUAUUAAUCGAUUCUAAAAAUAUUUGGGCACAAAAGCGAAGCUAUUUAAUUGGGAGGGAUCAUUUAACUUCUAAAACGUUUUCAAUUUUUCAUUUGUAUGCUUAAUUAUCUGGUAAAUGAUUUGGUCUGGAAUACUGAAAAUGAAACAACUGACCAAGAUUCAGUGCCGUCCCAAACAUUUUGGUGGCCUGAAGCAUUUUUUUCAAAUGUAACCCUAAUAAAUUUUUAUUUGUUAAAAACACAUCUUCUAAUUCCCAUUCAGUCUCUUUUGUGACAUAUAGUAAAUCGUAAAUAUUUUUAUCAACUUCAACUUUAAAAAAAAAAUUCUGCAGAAGCAACCUAAAUUGGAAUUGCUAACAUAUUUGAUAAACAAUCCAUGAAUUAUAAUAAAAUCUCCCAUUACUUUCAUAGAGUUCAAUAUUUCAGCAACUCUUUUAACUUCUGCUUGUAGUGCCAUUUUUAGAAAUUCGAUCUCCGAACAGAAAUAAUUUCAUAAAUACCACCCGCCAACAACCAUUGUUAUUCUAAAAUUCAAUUCAAAAGGACUUUAUAACUAAUUAUUAAUCAACUUGUUAACAAGAUUUAAGAUUUUUCCAUACUAAGUAAAGAAAUAAAGAAGAAGAUUAAAUUUUUUAAAAAAAUAUGAAGGAAGAAAUAAAGAAGAAGAUUUGUUAACAAGUAUUCGUGGUUUUAUAUCAAGCUAAAUAAAAUGAAAAGUACUGUACAUAAAAUAGAAGAUGUGGUCUAAUUUUAUUAAAAAAAAAUUGU